GGGGGGGGGGGGGGGGGGGGGGGGGGGGGGGGGGGGGGGGGCGGGGGGGGGAGGGGGCUCGGGGGGGGGAGUGGCGGACGGGGGAGUAAGGCGUAGGGAACCUGCCUGGUAGCGGGGGAUAACUAUGGGAAACGAUAGCUAAUACCGCAUGACAACAGUUAUUGCAUGAUAACUGUUUAAAAGGGGCAACUGCUCCACUACCAGCUGGACCUGCGUUGUAUUAGCUAGUUGGUGAGGUAACGGCUCACCAAGGCGACGAUACAUAGCCGACCUGAGAGGGUGAUCGGCCACACUGGGACUGAGACACGGCCCAGACUCCUACGGGAGGCAGCAGUAGGGAAUCUUCGGCAAUGGACGGAAGUCUGACCGAGCAACGCCGCGUGAGUGAAGAAGGUUUUCGGAUCGUAAAGCUCUGUUGUAAGAGAAGAACGAGUGUGAGAGUGGAAAGUUCACACUGUGACGGUAUCUUACCAGAAAGGGACGGCUAACUACGUG
rnacentral:rRNA from 1 species